AGAAUCAACGCUGGCGGCGUGCCUCAGACAUGCAAGUCGAACGCGAAAGUCCCCUUCGGGGGGCAAGUAGAGUGGCGCACGGGUGAGUAACACGUAGGUAAUCUACCUUCGGAUGGGGAAUAACAAUCGGAAACGGUUGCUAAUACCGCAUAAUGCAGCGGCACCUAAUGGUGACAGUCGUUAAAGCGGGGGAUCGAAAGACCUCGCGUCUGAAGAGGAGCCUGCGGCGGAUUAGCUAGUUGGUAAGGUAACGGCUUACCAAGGCGACGAUCCGUA
rnacentral:rRNA from 1 species